CGCUGGCGGCGUGCCUAACACAUGCAAGUCGGAUGUGCCGCAAGGUGCAUGGCAGACGGGUGAGUAACGCGUGGGGAAUCUACCUCUUUGUGGGGAAUAACGCUCCGAAAGGAGUGGUAAUACCGCAUGAGAUCCAAGGCUGGGAUGUUUUGGAUGAAACCUGGGGACCUUCGGGCCUGGGGCAAGGAGAGGAUCCUGCGUCUGAUUAGCUAGUUGGCGGGGUAACGGCCCACCAAGGCGACGAUCAGUAGCCGGCCUGAGAGGGUGAUCGGCCACACUGGAACUGAGACACGGUCCAGACUCCUACGGGAGGCAGCAGUGGGGAAUUUUGCGCAAUGGACGAGAGUCUGACGCAGCAACGCCGCGUGGGUGAUGAAGGUCUUCGGAUCGUAAAACCCUGUCGUCAGGGACGAAGGUUUGGGCGUGAAUAGCGUUCAAACUUGACGGUACCUGGAGAGGAAGCCCCGGCUAACUCUGUGCCAGCAGCCGCGGUAAUACAGAGGGGGCAAGCGUUAUUCGGAAUUAUUGGGCGUAAAGGGCGCGUAGGCGGCUUUUUAAGUGAGAUGUGUAAUCCCCGGGCUCAACUUGGGAACUGCAUCUCAGACUGGAAGGCUAGAGUGCUGGAGAGGGUGGUAGAAUUCCACGUGUAGCGGUGAAAUGCGUAGAGAUGUGGAGGAAUACCAGUGGCGAAGGCGGCCACCUGGACAGCAACUGACGCUGAGGCGCGAAAGUGUGGGUAGCAAACAGGAUUAGAUACCCUGGUAGUCCACACUGUAAACGAUGAACACUUGGUGUGGAGGGAGUUGACCCCUUCCGUGCCGGAGCUAACGCGUUAAGUGUUCCGCCUGGG
rnacentral:rRNA from 1 species